rnacentral:rRNA from 1 species
GACGAACGCUGGCGGCGUGCUUAACACAUGCAAGUCACGGGGGCCCGCAGGGGUAACCGGCGAACGGGUGCGUAACACGUGAACAAUCUGCCUAGAUGUGGGGGAUAGCCGGCCCAACGGCCGGGUAAUACCGCAUACGCUCUUCGGGUGGCAUCACUUGAAGAGGAAACCUCCGGGGCAUCUAGAGGAGUUCGCGGCCUAUCAGCUAGUUGGUGGGGUAACGGCCUACCAAGGCAAUGACGGGUAGCUGGUCUGAGAGGAUGGCCAGCCACAUUGGGACUGAGAUACGGCCCAGACUCCUACGGGAGGCAGCAGUGGGGAAUAUUGCGCAAUGGCCGAAGGGCUGACGCAGCGACGCCGCGUGGGGGAUGAAGCAUUUCGGUGUGUAAACCCCUGUUGCCCGGGACGAACAAGCGAUUUUGAUCGCUCUGACGGUACCGGGUGAGGAAGCACCGGCUAACUCCGUGCCAGCAGCCGCGGUAAUACGGAGGGUGCGAGCGUUGUCCGGAAUCACUGGGCGUAAAGGGCGCGUAGGCGGUCUGCUAAGCGUGUGGUGAAAGCUCGGGGCUCAACCCCGAGUCUGCCAUGCGAACUGGUGGACUAGAGCACUGUAGAGGCAGGUGGAAUUCCGGGUGUAGCGGUGGAAUGCGUAGAGAUCCGGAAGAACACCAGUGGCGAAGGCGGCCUGCUGGGCAGUAGCUGACGCUGAGGCGCGAUAGCGUGGGGAGCAAACAGG